rnacentral:rRNA from 1 species
AGGGAGCUUGCUCCCGGAUGUUAGCGGCGGACGGGUGAGUAACACGUGGGUAACCUGCCUGUAAGACUGGGAUAACUCCCGGAAACCGGAGCUAAUACCGGAGAGUUCCUUGAACCGCACGGUUCAAGGAUGAAAGACGGUUUCGGCUGUCACUUACAGAUGGACCCGCGGCGCACUAUCUAGUUGGUGAGGUAACGGCUCACCAAGGCGACGAUGCGUAGCCGACCUGAGAGGGUGAUCGGCCACACUGGGACUGAGACACGGCCCAGACUCCUACGGGAGGCAGCAGUAGGGAAUCUUCCGCAAUGGACGAAAGUCUGACGGAGCAACGCCGCGUGAGUGAUGAAGGUUUUCGGAUCGUAAAGCUCUGUUGUUAGGGAAGAACAAGUGCAAGAGUAACUGCUUGCACCUUGACGGUACCUAACCAGAAAGCCACGGCUAACUACGUGCCAGCAGCCGCGGUAAUACGUAGGUGGCAAGCGUUGUCCGGAAUUAUUGGGCGUAAAGGGCUCGCAGGCGGUUUUUUAAGUUUGAUGUGAAAGCCCCCGGCUCAACCGGGGAGGGUCAUUGGAAACUGGGAAACUUGAGUGCAGAAGAGGAGAGUGGAAUUCCACGUGUAGCGGUGAAAUGCGUAGAGAUGUGGAGGAACACCAGUGGCGAAGGCGACUCUCUGGUCUGUAACUGACGCUGAGGAGCGAAAGCGUGGGGAGCGAACAGGAUUAGAUACCCUGGUAGUCCACGCCGUAAACGAUGAGUGCUAAGUGUUAGGGGGUUUCCGCCCCUUAGUGCUGCAGCUAACGCAUUAAGCACUCCGCCUGGGGAGUACGGUCGCAAGACUGAAACUCAAAGGAAUUGACGGGGGCCCGCACAAGCGGUGGAGCAUGUGGUUUAAUUCGAAGCAACGCGAAGAACCUUACCAGGUCUUGACAUCCUCUGACAACCCUAGAGAUAGGGCUUUCCCUUCGGGGACAGAGUGACAGGUGGUGCAUGGUUGUCGUCAGCUCGUGUCGUGAGAUGUUGGGUUAAGUCC